rnacentral:tRNA from 1 species
CAGACAAUAGUUAAAUUAGAAUCAAUGCUUUGGGGGCAUUAGGUGGGUUUAGGCGCCCUUGUUUGA